GCAUAUUGCACAUGAUUUUAUCUUUUUUCAUCACCUUUUACUACACGCAAGCAAAGUACUGCAACUAUUAAAGUAUUUUAAUCCAUGCAUGCUUAUAGUAUUAUAUUAACUUAGGAGAGACUACAUUAUUGACAAAAAAAACUAGAUACAGUUCUUCAGCUUAUUAAUAAAAAUUCAAAAUAAAAAAAUUGUCAAGGAAGAGAGCUCCAAGUUUAUAACUGAUAAUGGAAUCAAUUUCCUAAAAAUAAGUACACCAAACAUACAUAAAUAUGCCCUUUCUCUUUUGGACGCACUAUUUACUGAAGAAGAAAUGGCUACUUGUAGCCACAAAAAUAUGAAAGGUAAAAAGUCCAAAGCCAUCCUAAAAUUAGGACAAAGUUCAACUAA